UACGUAGGGGGCUAGCGUUGUCCGGAUUUAUUGGGCGUAAAGAGCGUGUAGGCGGCCUGGUAGGUCUGCUGUGAAAACUCGAGGCUCAACUUCGAGAUGUCGGCGGAAACCAUCUGGCUAGAGUCCGGAAGAGGAGAGUGGAAUUCCUGGUGUAGCGGUGAAAUGCGCAGAUAUCAGGAAGAACACCUAUGGCGAAGGCGGUUCUCUGGGCCUGUACUGACGCUGAGGAACGAAAGCGUGGGGAGCGAACAGG
rnacentral:rRNA from 1 species